GGCCGGGGCUGCGGCGGGAUCCGGGCGGGCUCUGCCUGCGGGGCUGAGCGGCGCCGCGAGCUUUCGGGGACACCGGACAGAACCCAGAGACGCCAACUCUGACCGCGUGCAGUUUCCAGCGUGUUUCCAUCCUGUGACGCCUUCACAGCCAUGCCAAUCUGCAUCCUAAAAAGUGGCCGAGACUUGAUUCGCGCUCGUCUGGUCCGAAGGCGUUUUCAGAACUUACGAGUCUAAUUGUUUGGAACCAUCUUCUUAUUUCCAGCUUAAUUUGAUGCACGGCUGGUUAAUAAACAUUUGUUUCAUGUGCUUGCAUUAUAAUUUAUCUCACCCAGGUCCUGCCUUGGUGUUCAAGCUACAGUGUAUUUGUAGACUGCAAUCAUCUCCCUCUCAGCCAUUACAGGGAAGACUGAACAAGUUUUUUCAGCAUUUUCUUACUAGUCUGCCUGUCCCUGCACCUAAUGUCACGGUAGUUCUUUUUGCUGUACUACUGUUCACAUUUCCUCUCUUAAAGAUGGGUGACCAGGAGCAGCUGCAAACUUGUGCUGUUGUACCUAGUGAGAAUUCCCCAUCUGGAUACAGGCAUUGCUGCAUUUGCAGAGACAGGUCAGUGUCUCUUCUAGUGACUUUCUAGCCCUUCUGUGGUGGUACAGCAUUCCUUUACCUUCCCCUACACUGUUAAUGCACUACAACAUUCUGAUUUCCUCAGAUUACACCUAAUAUUGUGCCAGUCCUCAAGGAAAUUAAUUUAUAAAAAUAUCCACAAAGUACCUCAGUAGUAACCUGUGUGUCCUGAUAUGCUCCCUUCCCUCAGUCUUUGCUUUCAUCUUGAUCUUAACCACUCCUUCUCACAUGAAAUUCCUGUGCUUGUAUCAUACCACAGUUCCUAAUUUGUCCCAAAGUUCAGAGCUGCUUCCCUUGAGUCCACGCAGGGCUUAUAGCUUUAUAGAAAGUUGUUGGUUUUUUUUUAACUGUCAAGUUAGCAGACAUAAUAAACUUUAUUUUAUCCUCUA